AUUAUGAUUAAACCAAUAGCUGACCAGUGAGAGUACAAGAAGUUCAGAAGCUAACAGUUGUUUCUACGGUUUGGUAUAUCAAAGUUAAUCUUGACCUGAUUUGUGAUGAACUGACCUCAGCUCCAGCACCCUCACCCCAGGUUUCCGUUCUCAGAAAAGCCACCCCAGCAGAGUCCUGAGUCACAGAAGUCUAUCUCAGAUUACUAUCUAUUCUUCAGCAUCAUAUUUUAAAGAGACCAUAGAGUACUACAAAGGACUGCCAGCAGGGACAGGACGGCUCAAGUUCAAUUGUGCGUAAAACCAAAGCACUGGUCUGGCAGCGCUUGUCAUGGCUGAGCCGCUGGUGGCCGGGAGGUCCUAUCAGGUCAGAGUCUGCAGGAGCAAGAUCUUCUCAUUAAUGCAGAAGCGAUGCAGUACCACCAUGAGGUUCUCACCACAGCGGGAGACCUGGCGCUCCAUGGCCAGGCGGAAGUCCUCCUUUACACCUUUGGUGAUGCCUCGAGUGACUGUGUGGUGCCUGAGGUCAGUGAAAGGGAAACAGAAGAGAGCUCGGUUAAAAGCAGCACCAUGACCUAGUGUUACCUGGGUAAGAAUCAGCCUGCCUCAUAGCUAAGUGUGGUCACGCAUUUAAACCAAACUUAAAAAGAAAAGCUGCAACCAGA